rnacentral:rRNA from 1 species
AUUGAACGCUGGCGGCAGGCCUAACACAUGCGAGUCGAGCGGAUGAAGGGAGCUUGCUCCUGUAUUCCGCGGCGGACGGGUGAGUAAUGCCUAGGAAUCUGCCCGGUCGUGGGGGAUAACGUCCGUACACGGGCGCUAAUACCACAUACGUCCUGAGGGAGAAAGUGGGGGAUCUUCGGACCUCAAGCUAUCAGAUGAGCCUAGGUCGGAUUAGCUAGUUGGUGGGGUAAAGGCCUACCAAGGCGACGAUCCGUAACUGGUCUGAGAGGAUGAUCAGUCACACUGGAACUGAGACACGGUCCAGACUCCUACGGGAGGCAGCAGUGGGGAAUAUUGGACAAUGGGCGAAAGCCUGAUCCAGCCAUGCCGCGUGUGUGAAGAAGGUCUUCGGAUUGUAAAGCACUUUAAGUUGGGAGGAAGGGCAGUAAGUUAAUACCUUGCUGUUUUGACGUUACCAACAGAAUAAGCACCGGCUAACUUCGUG